UACAGAGGUCUCGAGCGUUAGGCGGAAUCACUGGGCUUAAAGCGUGUGUAGGUGGAUCGUUAAGUACCUUGUGAAAUCCCACGGCUUAACCGUGGAACUGCUUGGUAUACUGGCGGUCUUGAGCCAGCUAGGGGCUACCGGAACAAAUGGUGGAGCAGUGAGAUGCGUAGAUAUCAUUUGGAACGCCAAUGGUGAAAACAGGUAGCUGGGGCUGUGCUGACACUGAGACACGAAAGCCAGGGGAGCAAACGGG
rnacentral:rRNA from 1 species